GCAACCCCCACCGUCACCCAGCAGAGAAGCAGAGGGCUGCAGACACCCCCUCCUUCGUCGUCCUGCCCUCCUUCCGCUCGUCCAGCCACCUUCGUACUCGAGAACCCAUGGCAACAUGCAAAUCCCUAUGCCUCAGAGCCGUUGUUCGACUGAGCAAGAGAAAAGAUCAGCACAGAAGGCUGCAGGGUAAUCUUACACCGCUGAGACUGGCAAGAGAACCUUUGCUCUUGGAGCAGAAAAGCGAAGAACUCUGCUGAUACUCUCUCACUCCUCCCCUCGUUCUCCUCUGUCUUCACUCCACUGUUGGAGGCUCAUGGCACACAAUGGAUGCUCAUUAGACCUGUCUGUUGCUGCUCUUCUCUUUGGAAAAGAGUGCGACUCUCCCGAGGCAACAUGUAGGAUGAGACCCAGCUUGAGAGCCAGUUUGCUGCGAAAGGGUAAAAAUCUUGUGCUUUCAGGCCUAAUUCUGCCUUGAGAUAUUUAAAUCUUAUGUUUAUUUCUUUGUUGUUUUUCUUAGGGUUCGAAAAGGCUUUUAAAAGGUAAAGCCAGUCUCAGCCUUGCUAAGUAGAGACAAGAGGAAAAGAUCUGGCGCCCUCAGGGCUCUUGGGGAGCAAGCAGCAUCGCGCCCCCUGCCGCUGUAAGGGCGGCACCUAGGCGGAAGAAGAAGGCGGAGCCGCCAGAAGAAAGACGCCGCCGGCCCGGGUCAUGGAUCAGCGCCUCUGGGAGUUUUACUGGAGCAGCUGGUGAAUAAAUUGGCUCCACGAUUCAGAGAGCAUCAACCUAGGGUGGGAUCAAGGCUGGCCGAAGUAGAUGCUCCCUCCACGCCCAACCCACGCACUGCGCACGCAGCGAAGAUUGCCGAGAUGAAAAAGGAACUGAGGAAGCUGGAAAAGAGCCAAGUCAGCCUAGGAAGUCUCAGGGGCCCCCCCCCCCCCCCCCCGCACUCAUCUGGCAGGAAGGGCAGUUGCGCUGGAGGAGACAAAGUGGCCCUUCUCCCAUGGUCCACCCAUGUCUCCUCACUCCCACCCCCUGCUACAUGAAGCACCCUGAGAGAGCUGGCGGCCUGGGGUCAGUGAGGGGUGCAGAUUCCGGGAAGUCGAAUGAGGGGGAGACCACAGAAGGCAGUCCAGCUGGGGCGCUGGGGUCACGAGACCUCCUGUAGGGCCUGGUGGCCCGGAAGUCUAGCCCUCCAGAUGAACCGCCUAGUUCCCCGAACAGGCCACGUGGAUGUGCAGGGACCAGACCCCAGACCUAAGAGGACAGUCAGGGAGCCAGGACCCAGGGAUACCACGCCCUUGGUGAUCUCGAGUUUUCAGAAGCCAAGGUGUCAGUUGUCCAUUGCAGGCUUCUCAGACUUUAGAGGUGUGGUGCCGCAUGUGUCAUUUAUCCUUUGUAAGCUCUGGGGAAUGAAGGUAUUGGAGCGCUGGCAGCCCCUGGAGACCAUUCCCCUGCGCUGCGUCGUCACGUGGCCUUGCUGACGGGACCCAGGCAGGAUCUUGGGCCUCAGGUAGUCUUGAGGGCGCUGUACAAGCCCAGGGCCUGAGAGAAAAUAGUCUGAUCUAGUAGCAGAACUGGAGGAUGGCCCAUGUCAGAACAACGUUUUCUGUGAA
ensembl:lncRNA